rnacentral:tRNA from 1 species
GUUUUAAUAACUUAAGUUAAAGUAUAGUAUUGAAGAUACUAGGAUGAUUAAUAUAAUCUUAAAACA